CGGACUCCGAGAUCCAUAGACCUCGGCGAACCCUUGCUCUCGACCACCCACCCACUUUCGGAACCAUGGCCGCAGUGGCAGCAGCCUCGGCAGAACUGCUCAUCAUCGGCUGGUACAUCUUCCGCGUGCUGCUGCAGACCCUGUCCCCAGUGCGCCCGCGCCCAGCCGGGAACAAAGACUCAGGGGUGCGGCGGUCGCCCGCUGCGGACGAUCGCGACCAACGCGGUGUUCAGGUACUCCCUGCAGAAGCUGGCGCACACGGUGUCCCGGACCGGGCGGCAGGUGCUGGGGGAGCGCAGGCACCGAGCCCCCAACUGAGGCCCCAUCUCCCAGCCCUGGGCGGCCGUGUCAUCAGGUGCUCCUGUGCUUCUCGACCAGCAUGGGAGCCAAUGCCGCGCAGGAAUGGGGGGUCCCCUGUGCUCCCUCGUCAGAGGAGCACUUGCCAAGGUCAGUGAGGGGCCGGUAGGUCCCCAGAAAAGCAGCACCGACAAUGAUGAAGACAUCAGUUCCUUUCCCAGCCCCCUCCCCCCUUUGCCCCUGUCCCAUGGCCGGCGGGUGGGAGAGGAUGGGGGAAGAGGGGAGCAACCCUCGAGAUAUGGGCGUAGGCACCACAUUCUGAUCUGGACCAAGUUGGAACAGCACCAUCUCAGCCGCACAAGAUCCUACCAUGGAGAGCUAACACCCCACCAACCAGCAGAAUGGACAUUCUGACAUCACCAGCUGAAACCCUGAAUCUCGGUGCAGAAGAGAAAGUGUCAACUGCG
rnacentral:lncRNA from 1 species